rfam:Zootermopsis nevadensis contig18799, whole genome shotgun sequence.
UGGUCUAGCGGUUAGAACGCUGGCCUUGUAAUCCUGGGGUCCCGGGUUCGAUUCCCGG